rnacentral:sRNA from 1 species
CUCAUGCGUUAGUGGUAGUAAUGACAUCCUUUUUUUGCUACCAUAAAUGGCAAAAAAAGAUAUAAUGGAUGACACGACCCUUG